rnacentral:tRNA from 1 species
GACUGAAAAUCUUUGUGUCGGCGGUUCAAAUCCGCCUCCAGACA